UACGAAGGGUGCAACCGUUGCUCGGAAUUAUUGGGCGUAAAGCGCACGUAGGCGGCUUGGCAAGUCGGAUGUGAAAUCCCUCGGCUCAACCAAGGAAGUGCAUCCGAAACUGCAGGGCUAGAGUCCUGGAGAGGAAGGUGGAAUGCUUGGUGUAGAGGUGAAAUUCGUAGAUAUCAAGCGGAACACCGGUGGCGAAGGCGGCCUUCUGGACAGUGACUGACGCUGAGACGCGAAAGCGUGGGGAGCAAACAGG
rnacentral:rRNA from 1 species